rnacentral:rRNA from 1 species
AUUGAACGCUGGCGGCAGGCCUAACACAUGCAAGUCGAGCGGAUGAAGGGAGCUUGCUCCUGGAUUCAGCGGCGGACGGGUGAGUAAUGCCUAGGAAUCUGCCUGGUAGUGGGGGAUAACGUCCGGAAACGGGUGCUAAUACCGCAUACGUCCUGAGGGAGAAAGUGGGGGAUCUUCGGACCUCACGCUAUCAGAUGAGCCUAGGUCGGAUUAGCUAGUUGGUGGGGUAAAGGCCUACCAAGGCGACGAUCCGUAACUGGUCUGAGAGGAUGAUCAGUCACACUGGAACUGAGACACGGCCCAGACUCCUACGGGAGGCAGCAGUGGGGAAUAUUGGACAAUGGGCGAAAGCCUGAUCCAGCCAUGCCGCGUGUGUGAAGAAGGUCUUCGGAUUGUAAAGCACUUUAAGUUGGGAGGAAGGGCAGUAAGUUAAUACCUUGCUGUCUUGACGUUACCAACAGAAUAAGCACCGGCUAACUUCGUG